GACACUGCCACCAGCCUGUACUGGGGGGCGAUGAGUACCUGCCAAACCCUGACACUGCCACCAGCCUGUACUGGGGGGGCGAUGAGUAUCUGCCUAAUCCUGACACUGCCACCAGCCUGUACUGGGGGGGCGAUGAGUACCUGCCAAACCCUGACACUGCCACCAGCCUGUACUGGGGGGCGAUGAGUACCUGCCAAACCCUGACACUGCCACCAGCCUGUACUGGGGGGCAAUGAGUAUCUGCCAAACCCUGACACUGCCACCAGCCUGUACUGGGGGGCGAUGAGUACCUGCCAAACCCUGACACUGCCACCAGCCUGAUGUACCAGGAAUCAUUCGUCGGACCAAAAGCAUCGUUUUUUUUUCUCCCACUCCUCAAAUUGUCCAGUGUUGUUGCCCACUGGAACCUCUUCCUCUUGUUUUUAUCUGAUGGGAGUAGAACCCGGUGUUGCAAUAGAACCAUCCGUGACAAAGACCGACACGUUCCGAGAUGCUGCUCUGCACAUCACUGUUGUACUGUGUCGUUAAUUGUCUGUUAAGCUUGCACGAUUCAAGCCAUUUCUCCUUGGAUUUGGUCCAAAUUAAACGUUACAUUGUUGUUAGUGGUUAUACUAAAUAAACAAUCCUCUAUAUACACACACACACACACACACACACACACAUAGCUUUAGUUUACAUUGUGAACCUAGCAAGUAGUAGUAGCAGCUUCUAGAUUCCUUAACUCGUAGUAAAAUAAUCAGUGGUGUGUGUAUAAAGUCAAAGCCACAUGCAACCAAAUGUAACUUUAUUUUUUUCGCAUUUCAAUUCACAAGAUCUAAUGAACCGUCAACAAUUGACGCAAAGCAAGCGCACCACGGGGCAGGGAAUCAGCUUUCAUCGAUUUCAAAGGGAAAUCUACUAAGGGAAGUUAGUGUUGGUGGUCAAGGACCGUUACUAGGAAAGGUAGUGUUGCUGGUCAAGGACCGUUACUAAGGGAAGCUAGUGUUGCUAUGGGGCUACCAGCUACAUUAGCUUGUAGGCUAGCGGACUUUUUAUACGUUUUGUGAAGACAUAUGUACGACCUCCCGAAAACAAUCACUGAAUUGAGUAUGAUGCUUUUCCACCCGCUUACUCAAAAAUAAAUAUGUAUUUAUCGGUUUAUCGGACCGAUAAUGGGAAACUUCUCAACUGCCAGUGCGGCCACCCGGAAGUAACCCCACAACUGGCGAGUGGCCAUAUUGGUACUGCGCUAAAUACGGGCCAAAAAUGAUAAAAUACUCAUAUUACACUUCAGCCCAAGCCUAAAUUACCAUUAAAAGUAUAAUGUGCUGCUCUGUUCUUUACCGCACCUUGGGUUGAAUCCCGGUCUGUUGCUCUGGACUGGACUGUCAUGAUCGCCUGCUGUUUUUAGUCCACAACACUGUUUUUGCCUGCUGGUCACAAGCCAGUCUUGAUUGUAUACAUUUCAAAGAUACAUAUUUUUACUUAGUGUCAGAGAGUGUUAUUAAUAAUGCUGUUGGAUUGGUUGAUUUCUUAUUUUUUAUACAACUGCCUUGUAUCGUGCCUGUGUUCACGUUCCUGCUUCCAGGAUUUCCAGAAACCUGGGGAUUUAGUCAUCCUUUUGUUCGUUAUACCGUUGUGUUUAACUCUUGGGGAAAUUACUGGAAUUUUGCUACCCUCGUGUUGGUUAAACUAUCGUGUUUAUAACUACUUACUGUAUUUCUACGUGAAUGAGAAUUGCAUCAACACACAAACUGUUAUCUGAAGUAUUUAACAACUCAACACGCUCAUAGCCCUCGAGGCGAUAACAAUACUGGUACAGAUCAUUUUUGGUAUUGCCCCCCCCAAAAAAUAGCACCCUACGGUCGAUAUUAUAUAGGGUGGCAUUUGGGAUGAAUUUCAUUGCCUGCUUGUUCUCGCCGUCUGUAACACGAUGUACAGUCUUUGUAUUUUGUGGGUCUGUUGAACAUUUACUGGGCUACAUUUUUCAUUUUUCUUACAAAAGCUCCUUUUGAUUUGUCUUGCUGGAUAUUUGGAACCACAUUUUGUAAACUGUUUUUGUUGUUGUUACAGAUUAACUUGAUAGAUGGCCCAAACUAUUGAGAUCAUUGUAUAUACAUUUGUAUAGUUAUUUUCUAAAAGCUACAUGCUGUUAUGUAUUUUUUACUAAAAAACAAACAAAAAGGAUUAGACUUAGAAUAGUGCAUGGUUAAAAGCCAUUAUGGUACAAAGGGGUUCGGGUUAUUUCUAUUCAUUUAAAUGAAUAAAAUCGGGGUCUCAACAAGUCACUGUUCUCACAAGCGGUCUGUGUCAUGUUGCCAUAAACACAGUUUAUAUAAUUUCAAUAUUAAAAGUGUGAUAACUACUGAAUGAACAUGCUAUGAAUUACCCUAGUAUGUCAUUCUGUUGGUACAUUGAAAGCAGAACCUCGUACUGUAAUCUGCUGUUCCACAAUUUUGUAAAAUGAAUUGUAAAUAUGUUGCAAUGUACUUAUUUUGAUAAACAAAAAAAUAAAAUAUCCCAAGUAUAUCAAA